rnacentral:rRNA from 1 species
AUUUUUUUUUUUUUAAAAAAUGGCAAAAUACACUUCUGUGUAUAUUUUGUGCUUGUUAAGUAUUUAUUACUUAAAGAGGCUAUAAACAAGAGAGACGACAAAACCACUUGAAAUGAUCGGAGUGAAGUUGACACAAGGUACUGGUAUGGGAACUUGCCGGUGGAUUAAAAAACAAAAAGUAUGUUAUAAUUAAUUAUAAAUACUG